GGGUGAGUAACACGUGGGUAACCUGCCCAAGAGACUGGGAUAACACCUGGAAACAGAUGCUAAUACCGGAUAACAACACUAGACGCAUGUCUAGAGUUUGAAAGAUGGUUCUGCUAUCACUCUUGGAUGGACCUGCGGUGCAUUAGCUAGUUGGUAAGGUAACGGCUUACCAAGGCAAUGAUGCAUAGCCGAGUUGAGAGACUGAUCGGCCAUAUUGGGACUGAGACACGGCCCAAACUCCUACGGGAGGCAGCAGUAGGGAAUCUUCCACAAUGGACGAAAGUCUGAUGGAGCAACGCCGCGUGAGUGAAGAAGGGUUUCGGCUCGUAAAGCUCUGUUGGUAGUGAAGAAAGAUAGAGGUAGUAACUGGCCUUUAUUUGACGGUAAUUACUUAGAAAGUCACGGCUAACUACGUGCCAGCAGCCGCGGUAAUACGUAGGUGGCAAGCGUUGUCCGGAUUUAUUGGGCGUAAAGCGAGUGCAGGCGGUUCAAUAAGUCUGAUGUGAAAGCCUUCGGCUCAACCGGAGAAUUGCAUCAGAAACUGUUGAACUUGAGUGCAGAAGAGGAGAGUGGAACUCCAUGUGUAGCGGUGGAAUGCGUAGAUAUAUGGAAGAACACCAGUGGCGAAGGCGGCUCUCUGGUCUGCAACUGACGCUGAGGCUCGAAAGCAUGGGUAGCGAACAGGAUUAGAUACCCUGGUAGUCCAUGCCGUAAACGAU
rnacentral:rRNA from 1 species